GAUGAACGCUAGCUACAGGCUUAACACAUGCAAGUCGAGGGGCAGCGGGAUUGAAGCUUGCUUCAAUUGCCGGCGACCGGCGCACGGGUGAGUAACGCGUAUCCAACCUUCCGUACACUCAGGGAUAGCCUUUCGAAAGAAAGAUUAAUACCUGAUGGUAUGAUGAGAUUGCAUGAUAGCAUCAUUAAAGAUUUAUCGGUGUACGAUGGGAUGCGUUCCAUUAGGUAGUAGGCGGGGUAACGGCCCACCUAGCCUACGAUGGAUAGGGGUUCUGAGAGGAAGGCCCCCCCACAUUGGAACUGAGACACGGUCCAAACUCCUACGGGAGGCAGCAGUGAGGAAUAUUGGUCAAUGGACGAGAGUCUGAACCAGCCAAGUAGCGUGAAGGAUGAAGGUCUUACGGAUUGUAAACUUCUUUUAUAAGGGAAUAAACCCUCCCACGUGUGGGAGCUUGUAUGUACCUUAUGAAUAAGCAUCGGCUAACUCCGUGCCAGCAGCCG
rnacentral:rRNA from 1 species